CCAGACUCCUACGGGAGGCAGCAGUGGGGAAUAUUGCACAAUGGGGGGAACCCUGAUGCAGCGACGCCGCGUGGGCGAGGAAGUAUUUCGGUAUGUAAAGCCCUAUCGGCAGGGAAGAAGAAAUGACGGUACCUGACUAAGAAGCCCCGGCUAACUACGUGCCAGCAGCCGCGGUAAUACGUAGGGGGCAAGCGUUAUCCGGAUUUACUGGGUGUAAAGGGAGCGUAGACGGCUGUGCAAGUCAGAAGUGAAAGCCCGGGGCUCAACCGCGGGACUGCUUUUGAAACUGUGUAGCUGGAGUGCAGGAGAGGUAAGUGGAAUUCCUAGUGUAGCGGUGAAACGCGUAGAUAUUAGGAGGAACACCGGUGGCGAAGGCGGCCUACUGGACUGUAACUGACGUUGAGGCUCGAAAGCGUGGGGAGCAAACAGGAUUAGAUACCCCCGUA
rnacentral:rRNA from 1 species